rnacentral:rRNA from 1 species
GAUCCUGGCUCAGGACGAACGCUGGCGGCGUGCCUAACACAUGCAAGUCGAACGGAGAUUUCAGCAGUGGAAUCUUAGUGGCGAACGGGUGAGUAACGCGUAGACAACCUACCUUCUAGAUGGGGACAACACUGCGAAAGUGGUGCUAAUACCGAAUGUUGUAUUUUGGGUGCAUGCUCGAAAUACUAAAGGUGGCCUCUAUUUAUAAGCUACCACUAGAAGAUGGGUCUGCGUCUGAUUAGCUAGUUGGUGAGGUAAUGGCUCACCAAGGCGACGAUCAGUAGCCGGUCUGAGAGGAUGAACGGCCACACUGGGACUGAGACACGGCCCAGACUCCUACGGGAGGCAGCAGUGGGGAAUCUUCCGCAAUGGACGAAAGUCUGACGGAGCAACGCCGCGUGAGUGAAGAAGGUUUUCGGAUCGUAAAACUCUGUUUUCAGGGACGAAUGUGCAAUAUGUGAAUAAUGUGAUUGUAAUGA